rnacentral:rRNA from 1 species
ACGAACGCUGGCGGCGUGCUUAACACAUGCAAGUCGAACGGGUUCAUAUUAAGUAGCAAUACUUGAUAUGGAUUAGUGGCGGACGGGUGAGUAACACGUAGGUAACCUACCCUUGAGCGGGGGACAACCCAGGGAAACUUGGGCUAAUACCCCAUAAGACCACGGGGUGUAAAUUCCGUGGUAAAAGUAGCAAUAUGCUCAUGGACGGGCCUGCGGCCUAUCAGGUAGUUGGUGAGGUAACGGCCCACCAAGCCAAAGACGGGUAGCCGGGCUGAGAGGUUGAACGGCCACACUGGAACUGAGACACGGUCCAGACUCCUACGGGAGGCAGCAGUGGGGAAUAUUGCACAAUGGGGGAAACCCUGAUGCAGCGACGCCGCGUGGAGGAUGAAGGUCUUCGGGUUGUAAACUCCUUUUAUUGGGAAAGAUUAUGACGGUACCCAAUGAAUAAGCCACGGCUAACUCUGU